GGCAAAAAUCCAAACUCCUUAGCAUGAUAUAAAACUUUGAUCCUGUCAUCCCUCAAAACAAAGCCCAGAUUUCUUCCCAGGAAACUCAAAUUAUGAAACUCUUGCUUAAAAUCUCAACGUGUUUUCAUCACUACAAAAAGCCUCACCAUUUUAGCAAGGCACCCACUUUUAAUCAUGGCACUCCCAGCUUCAAACCUGUCAAAUUUCAUGUCCUCAACAUAAAAUCUAAAUGCCUGAGCAUGAAAUGAAAAUUGGACCAAUUAUUUCUUACAUUGAAAAUCUUUGGAUUGCUCUUCUCUACUUAAACUAUAAAGCUGACGUUCUUUUUGCAUGAAACCAGAACUUUUCACCACCUACAGUUUCCAGCUUCCAUUUCCUGUUCCUCAUGCUUCUCUCUGAAAAGACUGAAUUUCCCAUUCUCCAGCCUCCACAUGCAUUUCGAUUUUAUUGUCCCCAAACGUUUCUUUUCUUUUUUUUGUUUAACAAAGUCCCUCUGCCCAUAAUUCAUUAAUUCAUACAGCAGCAUGUCCUGAUUCUUUUUCUGGGCCAGGCACGGUGCUCGAUCCCCGAUGGAGGGAAAUGGAGGCAGACCCACCUUGCAGGUCAUCACCAGGAAGGAGAUGAGACUCAGGUCCUGGAGAUGAAUACCCCACUGGAGGUAGCGUGAAGGGGAGAUGGCUGCUUUCUCCUGGGAAGGGAGCAGAUGCCUGGCCCAGGACCAAAUCAAAAGGUCUGAAAAAUGAUAUUCUUUGUCCUAAUGUGUAAAUUUUGACAAUUUGCAAAUUUGUAGGUUCUUUAGAAUGGAACUAACUCAAGCCCUUCAUUCUGCAGCUGAGGCUCACUGCCCCCAGUGGGCAGUGGGUCCAGGGGUUUCUGAGGCCAGGGCAUGGCCCAGCCCUGCUGCCCCCAAGAUGGCACCUGGCUUGGAGGGGUGAGGGGCCCUGUUAGUCUGACUUUGAAGAAGACCAGCCUUCCAGACUCGCUUGGUGCCCUGACAGGAGCCCUGGGCUCCCUCAAUGUUGCCUAGAUCUGACUUUGCCUCAGUGAAAACCACCUCAAAUUCUUUCUUGCACUGAUGGGCAGAUGGGCAGUGUCAGAGGAUCGUGUCAUCUGUCCUGUGGUGCUGGUUGGCUUGGUCAAGUCAGUGUUCAAACUAUCUCCUGCUCUUUCAAGGGGAUCUGGGGCUCUAGAAGAUUAGAGGACUUUGAGAGGUUAGUGACUUGCCCAAGUUCGGCUAGGAAGCAAGACCCAGGAUUCCAACUCAGGUCUGUGUGAUUCCUCUGCAAAAUGGAGAGGUGGAAGGAUGGAUGUCAGGUCUGAUGAAUGGAUGGAUGCCUACAUCAAGAUGCAUGCAUAGAUGGAGAGAUGGCUGGCUACCUGAUGAAUGCUGGUAAGAUGGAUGAGUGAAUUGAAGCACAGGUGGCAGAAGGAGAGAGGAAUGAGAGAGAAUAGUCAAUUUCUCACCAAGAUCAAAGGCUUACUUGAUCUUUGAAGAGAGGUUCCCUCUGAAUGGAGCUUGCUGGUGAAGCUCCUGCCUUCUGAACAGAACUGGCUCAGGUGGCUCUGGGACAACAGGUGGGAUGCCAGCUUACAGGGACCAAGUCCCAGCUGUGGUGCUGAAGCUGCUCAGUGGCAACUCUCCAUCUCUGCUGCUUUCACGCAGCACUGAGGCAUAGCAGGCAUCCGCCUUUCCACUGGCUCUCCUGGAUGACUAAGCCCUAAGCCCCAACCGCAUACUCAGCCCUUCACUGGCACUUGGCAUAAUUUUAUCUCCUCUAAAUCAUCACAGCCACCCUCCAUGAUAGCAAUUUCCAUUCUCAAUUAAGCGAAAAGGAAACCGAAGUUUAGGAGUGGUAAGUGACUUACCCAAAAUCAUAUAGAGAGGAAAUGCAGACCCAGGAUUUGAACUCGAGUCUUCUUUCCUUCCAAACUCAUCCCCUCAUCCUGUUUAUUUCCUUUUCUCUAUGACCAUGUCUGAAGAAAUCUGCCUUGGGGUUGUCUCAUGUUGGACUCACUCUCUUGGUCUGUCAGUGAGCUGAACUUCUCAUCCAGUCAAAUCCAAGCUUAUUUCCCAAGUAAUAUCUCUAGUGUAUUCUAUUUGUAAUGAUCACACAGGCAAGGGCCACACAUAUCACUGGCAUCCUACAGUACAAUUAAUCAAGUCAAAUUAGAUUCCUGGCAUCUCAUAUUCCGACUGAAUGCUAAUGGUAGCAGAUGUAAAAAUGACUCCAUUGCAAGGCAAGGAGGGAGGGGACUGGAUGUAGGGCUGAAUGGCAAAUCAGUAAGCCUUGCUGCAGACCUGGGUUAAUAUUAGCGAUAGGUUUUGAGAACCUGCUCAUGGGCUAGGCCCUACUUCACACAUUCUAGGUGCUAAGGUUUCAAUCUCAGCUUUGCCAUUGACUACUUUUGUGAGUUUGGGCAACGUAUUUAAUUUCUGUGCUGCAUUUUCUUCAGUUGUACCAAUAGUACCUUACUAAUACUGAUAGUACCUUACUAAUGAGUACUUGAGGAUUAAAUGAGGCAAACAUAUAAAUUCCUUAAAAGAGCAUUCCAGGCUGGGCAUGGUGGCUUAUGCCUGUAAUCCCAGCACUUUGGGAGGCUGAGGUGGGAGGAUCUAUUGAGCCCAGGAGUUCGAGACCAGCCUGAGAAACAUAGGGAGACCCCAAUCUCUACAAAAUAUUUAAAAAUUAUCUGGGUGUAGUGGUGCACAUCUGUGUUCCUAGUUACCCGGGAGACUGAGAUGGGAAGAUUGCUUGGGCCUGGGAGGUCAAGGCUGCAGUGAGCCAUGAUUGUGCCACUGCACUUUAGCCUGGGUGACAGAGGGAAACCCUGUCUCAAAAAACAAAAACAAAAACAAAAACAAAAAAAGAAUGCUGUCCAGAUGUUGAGCAUUCAAUAAAUAUUUACUUGCAGUGAAAAUUACAGUUGUUAUAAGUAUUGUUAUUGAGGUGUCAUUUGAUAUCUUUGGCAGGUAAGAAUCAUUAUCCACAUUUUACCAGUUAACUGAACAGGUGCUCAGAGAGGCCUGUGUGCUUGUCUUUGGAGAAUGAAUCAGUGAAAUAGAAACAGAAAUACUAAUUUAGAACUAGAAGUUCUAGUGAUAGAAGUGAGAGUUCUAUGCAGCAAAUGGGCAUGAUCCAUCUAAGGAAAGAUGAAGCCCUAAGAGAGGUGAGACUCCUGUGAAGGAAGUACAGGGGCUUACACAGGGGUUGCAUGGGAGCUGGGAAGAAGCUGAGUAGGUAAAAGGCAAGAUAAAUAAUUACAGUCCUCUGAAUCCAAGUUUCUGAGGUUGAAGUUCAUUAAACUUCAUGGUUUCUAGCAGUAGUGGGCAAGGUUCCCCAGUUCUCAGAUAUGAUUUCAUUCAACUUGUUUCCCUACCUGUUUUUGGGGGAGAAAUAGUCACUUUAGAAAUGUUUCUUGACUUGCUCUUUUGGAGGUGGCCAAUUAGAAAAAUUCUGAGUCUCUUAUCAUGGGGGGCAUGAGGACUGGGACGCCUCCUCCUAUUCCUGGGGCAGCACAUCUGUAACUUGAGCGUAGGUGGCAUGUGGCUGCACAUCACAUGGGGUGCCUCUGGCGGGGUGCAAUCAGAUGCCCUAACAGCCGGGUGGGAGGAGAUGGGUUUAGCAUUGGUGCUGACUUGCUGGGCUGUGUUGAGGUUAAGCUGUGAUCCCAGCAUUGCCUGACUUCAGAUUCUGUGCCAGUCCUGUAAGAACUGUUGCCUCUGCAUCUCCAAGAUGGACAGUUUAUUUAUUCAUCCAGGUCCAAUGGUACAUCCUGGGGAUACCCUCUGCUUCUGGGGCUGCCUGUGUGGGAGGUCAGAAAAACCUUCGCACCUCACCCCCAAGCCCCGGCCAUGUGAUUUAUUCUCACACUCACAUUGCAGGCUGGCAGUGGGACAUUGCUGACAAAACGAGGCUUCGGGAAGAAGUGGUAAGGCCAACUCUGGAGCGACACUGCCCGGGUUUGCCUCCCGGCUCAGCAUCUCCUUGCUGUGUGACCACUUAUAAGUCACCUAACUUCUCUGAGUCUCAGCGUCCAGAGGUAUAAAAUAGGACUAGUAAUGCUUUGCUCAAAUAUCAUCAUCUCCGUGAGGCUUCCUCCUUCGUGUCACUCCCUACCCCCUUUCCUGCUUUAUUUUCCUCCCUAGUUCUUAUCACCAUCUUUUAUCCCAUGCAUUAGGCUUACCUUUUCUGAUGAUUUUCUGUUCCUAUCUCCACCCACAGGGAUGUUAAUUCUCAUGGGAUGGGGAUCUGUCCAUUUUGCUCACUACUGUAUCCCCGGCACUUAGACCCAGCAACGGUACAAAGUGCAUGCUCAAAAAUUUUGGGGGAAAAAUUUAUGAGAUACUAUUGAAUUGUAUCCACCCCAGAGGAGUGUCAAUGUAUGCAAAGCAGGCAGUGUGGUGCUUGGUACAGAGUAUGCAUUCAAUAAAUAUUGGCUAAUUAUGAUUAUUAUGUCUAAUUCACAGGACUGUUGUGAGAAUCAAACGAGAUAAUGUAUGCUGAGGCAUGCUGUGAACACUACGUGCUGGGUACAGGAGGUACAAUAUUAAUGAUCCCUGCUGCUUGGAGGGAACUUGCACUUAAAAUGUUAUGCUUUUCAUUUUCACACCACUUGGGAGGGAGGAAAGGCUGGUGGGAUGAUCACCACCUGAGGCUCAGGGAGGGGACAGGCCUUCCCCAAGGCCCCACAGUAUGAAGAAGGCAGGGGCAGGUCCCCACACUGGUGGUCUUCCCACGACUCCCUCAUGAAAGUCCCCCAAUGGACAGAUUGAUAUGUAAAUGACAUUAUACACCUACACCAUAACUCUAUAUAAUAUAUAGAAUUAUUUUCAGGUCCCUGAGUUGCUCUGAGGCCAGUUGCGGCAGGUGGUACACGCCCAGGACAGGCUGGGGGGAGGGGUAAGAAGGAAACUGGCUGUGUAUCUUUGGUAAGGCCCAUAGUGAAGCCUCUUUUGGUUUCGUGGAAUCAAGUUGAACAUCAAGAAUCUCACGGCAUAGACUUCCCCAAGGGCAGUCCCACUUCACAAAAUGAAUUUUCAUUUUCCGAAGCACAUCCCUUAUUUGGAUUUCUGUUGUUCAGGGUAUUUGUUUAAGCUCUGAUGCCAUGUCCAAAAAAGAAAGGCCCGAACAAUUCCCUGCCUGAGUCCCAAACCCUUGGCUUGAUCUGAGCAUUGAGCUAAUUCAUUUCUUUGAUCAAACUGGGGACUGUUUGACCAGUGGGGUGGGCAUCAUGGGACGGGGAAAGGGCGGGGUGUGCGCAGGUGUGCAAGGCGGGCUACUUGAGGGAUGGGCCAUAGUUCAGGUCACCCUCCGGUUGGACCCACGAGGGCGCUGCAUUCCUCAUUCUACAAAUCGUACAAGUCGGGGCACAAGACAGAGAAGCCAGGUCACGUCUCUGCAGUUACACAGCUCACGAGUGCCUGCUGGGGUGGAACCUGGUCUGUCUGUCUGUCUAACACCAGAGCUCGGGCGCUGCUGCAGAGGGAGCCAAGAUUUGGGUGAGGGAGGGGCUCAGAGGUGGGAUGGAGGGUUUUUUUGUAUUUUUUUUUAACCUGGUUGCCAUUGGCUUGAAAAUAAUAACAUAACUUUGCUUGGGGACUAGUGCUGCAGCUAUCUUGCUGACGGGGAAACAGGCACAGAGACGUUAGUUUGCUUUGCUGAUGUCACCCAGCUAGUCUGGCAUUGAGGCUGGAUUUGGGAGGCGGGUACUGAGGUGUGAGCAUAUGUGCUCACUGGCUCGUGGUGUGUGCGCAGGUGCAGAUGGCUCAGCAAUCUGGGUUUGAGGGCUUUUACCAGUCCGCCAGCGGUGGGUGUGCUCUGAACUCAAGCUUGUAUAUUUCACACUGUCCCUUGACCCUUCUCUUUAGCCUUCACUGUAAACUCCUGCAAGCCACUGACCCAUGGAAAAUAUUUAAGAAUACAUAUAUUACAUAUAUGUUGUAAAUUUAUAUAUAUAUGUCUGGAAAGGGAUUGUAUCCAGGAGAUUUGGGAGUGAUUGUUUAAGGUAGAGGGAGGCAGGGGCAUGAGAGGGGGAGGGAUGGAGGUGGGGACCACCAGUGGUAAUUCUCGUGGGUGGUUUUAACAAUCAAUACAAUAAGAGAGAGGCAUGCCAGCAGCAAGGACGGGAGUGGGUUGUAAACCAGGGAUGGUGAUUAAUUCUUCACGAUUGAGGGGCAUUAAAAAAAGAGAUCGGAGUGGUUCGUGGCUAUUAAUUUUGUUAUUAAAAAUAAUCAAGGAAUAAAUAAGGUAAUAAAGGCCUCGAAUGGAACAAUUCUGAGAAAGUGUUCUGGGCAAAGGAUUAUGACUAAUCCAGGUCUGGUAACCUGAUAUUAACAAACAAAAAAGGCCUUGUAGGCUAUUUUCUUUUUUUAACCGGCUUUAUGUUCCAUAGAAUGGGCACACUGGGGUUUCUCUCCCAGAGAAGGUGAGUGCAGACAAAUAAAAGCCGGCUUCGUGGGUGUUGAUUGAACAGUUAAAAAUGAAUGAAUGCGUAAAUAAAACUAGAGACAGCCAAGCAUGUACCAAUGAUAGCAAUGUGUUCUUCACUCCCCAGCUUUAUAAAUAUAUAAUUGAUAAAUCAAUAUUGUAUGUAUUUGUAUUGUAUUUAAGUUGUACAGUGUGACAUUUUGAUAUACAUAUAUAUUGUGAAAUGAUUACCAUAAUCAAGCGAAUUAACAUACCCAUCACCUCAUGUGGUUCCCUUUUUCUGUGUGUGCAAUGAGAAUACUUAAGGUCUACUCUUUUAGCAAAUUUCAAACAUGAAAUACAUUAUUGUUAACUAUAGUCACCGUACUCUGCAUUGGGUCACCAGAACUUACUCCUAACUGAAAGUUUGCAUCCUUUCACUAAGAUCUCCAGAUUCCUCUCACUCCUGACCCCUAGUAACCACCUUUCUAGUCUCUGCUUCUAUGAGGUUAUUCCAAAACAAAAGCCAGAUUCUAGGCUGUUGAGACUGAGGGUAGGAAGUGUAUCAACAGGUAUACGGAAUAGUCAUUGGUCUUGGGCUAAAUGGUGACUUCAAGUGUAGUGGCUGCAUAGUUAAAAAUGAAUUAGAUGAGUACAAAAGUGACAAAAUGAAAGAACGUCAAGAAUGGACCACAAAGACAAUGUUUUAUGACCUAAAGAUUAAGAUUCAUCCAUUUGUGUACAAUUGUGGACUAUAUAAAAUAAAACAAGACUUUUACCUCAGUGGAUAAGAAGUAUUUGGAUGUACUAAUCAAUAUUUUUGUUCUGGAUCAGUGGUGGGUUCAUCUGUGUUUGUUGUAUUUAAAAAAAUAAGUGAAAACGUUGAAAAGGGUGAGUAGGAAUCAAAUAUGAUUGUCACUCCAAGUCUGCAUCAUCUGCAUCCGUUAGGAAGAAUAUCUGGGUUGGUUCUUUCUUGGGUGAGAUGCAUAGGGACAUAUGUUUGUGAUAGUCAUGAUUCUUGUUUUUGAUUAGAGUGGUGAAUUAAUACACACUCAUUUGUAAUAAUACAAAUUAGUAAAUGAAUACUUGCGGAGAGCUAUGCUUAGGCCAGUGGUGAGACUGUCAUGAACCAAAGAUUAUGAUUAAUACUGUGCUUCUCACCUGAUGGCCAUUAAAAAAAUCUAGUUUUUUUCAUCCUUUUUAAUAUCAGCCUUGUGUUCCACAGAAUGGAGGCUCCAGAGUGAAAUUAAUGACACUUUGUCGAUGAAGAUCUUGAUUGUGACCUCUGUGGAAAAUGAGCCAUGAACCAACUAAUGAUAAGUCUACUUUUCUUCCACGUAACAACCACAGGAUAGAUGACAUUCAUUUUCUAAGAAACAAAAUCUUGGCAGUUAGAUCCGUGGGGUAAAGAAUAUAGAUACUAAUAAUGAAAACCAUGUAGCUGGUUUUAUUAUCCUCUAAUCAUGAAGACCAUUAUUGUUAUUUGUGGACUAAGGAGCAGAAAGACUGAUAGUGGACAUAGGCCAGCUGAUUUAAUAAUUUAAGAAAUAACUGUUAUCCUGAGUAAGGAGCAUAGAGACAAAUAUAAAAUGAACGCACUCUACCUGAUUUAAUUAUAGUCUUCUGGUGAAGAUCUUGCUGUUAUCUCUGUGAAUCAGGAGAGAAGAGAUCGAUAAAGAAUAGACGAGAUUGGAUUUGGUCAUUUUCCCAAGGUGAAGAGCAUGGUGAUUUCUUCUGUGAAUGAAUGCACAAUGAUUCAAUUAUUCUCCAGCGAGGAAGAUCAUGGUUAUUGUCUGUUUGAGUAAUGAGUGUAGAAACCUACACUGGAAGCGUGAUGGCUGAUCCAAUCAUUUUCCACUGAUGAAGGUUUUGAUGGCUACCUAUGUGAGUAGGGAGGACAUAGGCUGCUAAUGAACAGCCCCAUCUGAUUUAAUCACUGUGCAAUGACUGUGAACUGUACGGUUACCUCCGUGUGUCACAGGAAGACUCUUAAUGAACACCCUCAAGUUGACUUAAGCACUCUUCCAUGGUCACGAGGUUUCUGUUUGCCUCUGUGUGGUAGAAGCUUGGAGACCAAUGCCUUCUGCUGUGAUCGCGUUCUCCACAGUUGCCUCUGGGUAGGAGCCCGGACACUAAUGGAAAAUGGAUGCACUUGAGCCGACCUAAGCAUUCAUGGUCAUGAGAUUUGUGGUUGCCACUGUUGGUUAGGAGCGUAGAGAUCAGUAAUGGACACACCUGGGCUGGCAGAACAUCUUUCCUUGAUCUGGAGCCCCAUGUCUGCCCCUCUGUAGAGGUGCACAUGGGCCAAUGAUGGAUGCAAUGAGCUGAUCAUUUUGCUGUGAUCAAGGCUAUGUUGCCUCUGUGUUAGGCCAAUAAUGGACACACCUGAACUGACCUGUGCAUUUGCAAGCUCCAUGGCUGUCCCGGUGUUUGGAGCAUGGAGACCGAUUUGAGUUAUAGUCACUCUUCUUGCCUUGGUUUUGGUGGCUUAUUUAGGAUACUCACUGAAUACUUUUUUAAAAAGUAUUAAAUACAACCGAAGAAGGCCAACUGUGGACCAAUGAUAAGUAUGGAUUUGACAUGAAAUAUUAUGUUGAUUGAUCAAUUUUUGUAACAAUGGGAAUGAUUAAUGAAAGAGGUAUAUUCAGUGACAUACACAUACGUCACUAAAUGAAUGAUGUGAUUCCAUAGAUAGAUAUUAGGGAUAUAAGAAUCUCUUUUCUGUGAGAUUUUGUGAUUCACAGAUAAUUAUUUUAUUAUGUUUGAUGAAUUGAGUAUUAAUUAAUAAGCAAAUAUACAGUAGUAUGAAGAAAAAGAUAUGUAAACCUGAACCAAUGAUUGAUGGUUUAGGAGUCAUGGGUGAUGAAUAAUAUGUGUCUGGAACCUAAAGGUUUGCAGAAAACAAAAUCUGAUGUAUUUCCUAGGGUCAUUUGCAAAUGACAAUCAGUGUUUGAAAUGAUAGAUUGAUGUUAAUAAUGUGUAAGAAUCUACUUCUUUUAUUUUGGAUUCAUGGAUUUAUAUAUUGUUAUUAUUUAAAACUGAUCCAUGAUGAAAGUAUUAAACAAACAUAUAAUUCGACAAAUAUGAAGCUGGAGAGAUGGACUUCAACCGUGUGAUGAUUCAAGAUAUACUAUCAACAUAAAAUGAAACACUAGCUCCCAACAUGGUGAAACCCUGUCUCUAUUAAAAAUACAAAAAAUUAAAUGGACAUGGUGGUGCACGCCUGUAAUCCCAGCUACUUGGGAGGCUGAGGCAGGAUAAUCACUUGAACUCGGGAGGUGGAGGUUGCAGUGAGCCGAGAUUGCGCCAUUGCACUCCAGCCUGGGCAACAAGAGCAAAACUCUGUCUAAGAAAAAAAAAAAAAAAAGAAAUGGACCUAAGGGUGUUACCUCUUUUUCAUUAGUGAUCAUAUAGAUGCUGGGUAGUAGGAAUUUUAUUGCUUGGAGCAGUCCUUUUGAGGUUGUUUUGUUCAGAAUGAACAUAUAUGUUAUGAAAAAUUAAUAAAUACCUAAAUUAUUGGGAAAGCAAAGAUCGACAAAAAGGUCUUAGUUUUUAAAAUCAGCUGCUUUGCUUUGUAUUUCUUAGAAGGGAUGCACUGGCACUGAUUUAAGAAUUCUCUCAUAGUCACAAGACGUAUGGUUGCCUCUGUGUAGAUUCCUGGAAACCAGUGUGAGUAUGAGUCAAUAUUCUUGUCUUGGUUUGAGCGUUUUUUAAGAGGUAUCACUGUGUUAUUAUACACUUUGGCAUUUAAUUAGUUAAUGUCUUAAGAAUGGGAUUCAUGUAAUGCAUUAUGUUGAUUAAUCUGUAUGUGAAACACUGCAUUAAAUUAAUAAAAUAUAUCUAGUGUCUAUGGGAAAUAAUUUUGUAGACAGAUAUUAGAUAUUCAAGAAUCUUGCUCUUGAGUUUUUCUGACUCUUUGGUAUUUACUUAUUCUUAUUAGUGAGUUGAUGAAUUUAUCUAUCAAUAAAUGAAGACAUGAAUGAAAAAAAAGAGCUCCAAGUCUGGACCAAAGACAAAGUUUGGUGAUGUAUGAAUUAUGAACAAUAAAUACCUGUGUUUGGAACUUUGAGGUCCAACAUGAAAACUAGUUUACUCCCUAUGAUGUAAUUGAUCCUAUAUAUAUAUUGAUCCUAUAUAUAUAUA